AACCGCCGGAUGCGGACCCGCUUGUCCGGUGGUGUGGCAGGGGCGCAGGAGGGCUGAACCUCCUGCCCCCUAUGCCGAU
rnacentral:autocatalytically_spliced_intron from 1 species